UAAUACCGGAUAACGCAUAUAUGCUGGAAUGCUUUAUGCGUAAAAUGGAUUCGUCUGCCCAAGGAUGGGUCUGCGGCCUAUCAGGUAGUAGUGGGUGUAAUGUACCUACUAGCCUACAACGGGUACGGGUUGUGAGAGCAAGAGCCCGGAGAUGGAUUCUGAGACAUGAAUCCAGGCCCUACGGGGCGCAGCAGGCGCGAAAACUUUACAAUGCGGGAAACCGUGAUAAGGGGACACCGAGUGCCAGCAUCAUAUGCUGGCUGUCCGGAUGUGUAAAAUACAUCUGUUAGCAAGGGCCGGGCAAGACCGGUGCCAGCCGCCGCGGUAACACCGGCGGCCCGAGUGGUGAUCGUGAUUAUUGGGUCUAAAGGGUCCGUAGCCGGUUUGGUCAGUCCUCCGGGAAAUCUGAUGGCUCAACCAUUAGGCUUUCGGGGGAUACUGCCAGGCUUGGAACCGGGAGAGGUAAGAGGUACUACAGGGGUAGGAGUGAAAUCUUGUAAUCCCUGUGAGACCACCUGUGGCGAAGGCGUCUUACCAGAACGGGUUCGACGGUGAGGGACGAAAGCUGGGGGCACGAACCGGAUUAGAUACCCGGGUAGUCCCAGCCGUAAACGAUGCUCGCUAGGUGUCAGGCAUGGCGCGACCGUGUCUGG
rnacentral:rRNA from 1 species